rnacentral:lncRNA from 9 species
GGGAGGAUUGCCCCUCUAUCUGAUCUCUCUGAUCUCUCGUCAUCCCCAAAGAAUGACAAGGGACGUCGAGAUCAGGAUUUCAACUCGCUUAUACUUCCAAAUAACAAAAUCGUCGC